rnacentral:rRNA from 1 species
GACAGAGGCCUCAAGCGUUAGGCGGAAUCACUGGGCUUAAAGCGUGUGUAGGCGGAUCGUUAAGUGUCUUGUGAAAUCCCACGGCUCACCCGUGGAACUGCUGGGCAUACUGGCGAUCUUGGGCCAACUAGGGGCAGCCGGAACAAGCGGUGGAGCGGUGAAAUGCGUAGAUAUCGCUUGGAACGCCGAAGGUGAAAACAGGCUGCUGGGGUUGUGCCGACGCUGAGACACGAAAAGUGUGGGGAG